rnacentral:misc_RNA from 1 species
UUAAGUUCAGCGGGUAUCCCUACCUGAUCCGAGGUCAACCAUUAAAAAAUUGGGGGUUGUUGGCAAACAUCCACCGGGACCCUAUAGCGAGAGAAAUUACUACGCUUAGAGCCAGAUGGCGCCGCCACUGAUUUUAAGGGCUGCCAGUAGGCAGGCCCCAACACCAAGCUGAGCUUGAGGGGUUAUAAUGACGCUCGAAC